UGGGGAAUAUUGCGCAAUGGGCGAAAGCCUGACGCAGCGACGCCGCGUGAGGGAAGAAGGCCUUCGGGUCGUAAACCUCUGUCUAGAGGGAAGAAACCAUUGAGGUCGAACAGGCCUCUUUGCUGACGGUACCUCUGAAGGAAGCACCGGCUAACUCCGUGCCAGCAGCCGCGGUAAUACGGAGGGUGCGAGCGUUAAUCGGAAUCACUGGGCGUAAAGCGCACGUAGGCGGUGUCGUAAGUCGGAUGGGAAAGCCCACGGCUCAACCGGGGAAUUGCAUUCGAUACUGCGACGCGUGAGUGCCGGAGAGGGUGGCGGAAUGCCAGGUGUAGGAGUGAAAUCCGUAGAUAUCUGGAGGAACACCAGUGGCGAAGGCGGCCACCUGGCCGGCAACUGACGCUGAGGUGCGAAAGCGUGGGGAUCAAACA
rnacentral:rRNA from 1 species